rnacentral:sRNA from 1 species
AGUCUUGGCAGAGGAGACAAAAAGUAAAGAGACAAUGGCAGGACGGGUGUGACGGGGCACAGGGGUCUGGUUUAGGCAGAGAGACAGGUCCCUUGGAGGCAGAGCAUGGGAAAUGCUGCUCAGUCUAGGUGAUACCCAGGCGAGGUCUUAGAGGUGCACAGAAUCCUGUGAGAAGGGCACCAUCCCAGCAGUGGAGUGUACAGAAGCUGGGAGGUGGGACCAGGGAGAUUGGAUCUGCUCUCACCAGGAUGUGCAUGAGGCACAGAAGCAUUGAAGCCAAGCUGAGGCAGUUUUCGAGCGCUUUAAUUGAUUGUCUGAUAAACCCACUUCAAGAACAGAUGGAAG